UUCACUGGCUGGUUGUCAGGUGGUGUAUCAGAGGUGGAACUAGUAUAUUUUUAGGGAAAAUGUGCAAGUUGGGUAGUCUUUGAGCAUGGGAUUGUGAAACCAGGUUUCCAAUGGAGCGAAUGGUUUAAUAAAAUACACGUGGGGAAAAAAAGAGAAAACACUGAUGGGGCAUUGCCCCAUUCUAGCCUUCAAGGGAUUUUUUGCUUCCACACCUACAAGAUGUGGAAAACCUGCGAGCCGUGGCGAUGAGCUCACAGCACGCCGUGGUCCUAGCACAGGCCUGUUUCGCUUUCAUGCUGCAAAACUAGACUGAAGCAACAGCACCAAAAAAGAAUAACUUAAUCUCUUCCCAAAGGCCCAGCAUGGCACAGGCUGGAGCAGACGGUGCUGGUCCUGGUGAACUUCUGCAGGUCCAUGUUCGUUGUGGAGAGCAGCUCCCGUCCCCAUGGAUCAGAAUUACUUCGUGCAGACAAACGUUGCUGUCCUCCCAAAGCCCAGCAAGAGGUGCUUGCCCUCUAGCAGCAGCGAAGGAUGGGAUCUCUCUCCGUUCCUCAGCCAGCUGUUGGUGCGAGUGAAAGGUGGCUGGUUCAGAGCACACAAGGCUGUGAUACUCUGGGACAAGGGGUAGAUAAAAUCCUCGUACAGGCAUCUUGCUAUUUGGUAACUUGUGCUGAAGGGCCGGGUGUUUGGUGGGAGCAAAAGCUCCAGCUGUCCCUGCUGGUGCUCUGACUUGUGGUAGAGAGCAGAUUUUGUUGCUCUUGCCCUCAUGGAUGCACUUGUUUAAAAAUGGCUGGAGUUUUUUUUUAAUGUAGUGGUAUUUCUCUUGAAUCUUUGCAAAAUUCUUUCAAAGUGUGUUUGACACAGGCCUGGAAAAUGACUGUGAAAAGCUGAGCUCUCUGUGGGGCUGCAGGCUCGGCCCUGCCGCAGGAGCCAAUUUAAACACUUCCACGGGGCAGAGAGUCAUUCGCCGAUUUUGGUUUAAAACAGUGAUCAGACGUGGAGGUGCCAGAAAUCUCAGAGUGUUUCCGUGCCAGCUCUGCAGCUGUUAAAGGACACGGACUUGGGAUAAGGCUCAAAUAAACAUCCAAGUUUUUUUCUAUUGAAUGUUUAAAUGAAUGAAAGCUGAGCUCCUAACCUUUCAAGAUUUCCAGCUUACACACUUAUUAAACAGAGGAAAAGCAAUAGAGCGUACCGCUCGGUGUUUUUCAGCGUCGUGCCUUCCAAGCUCCCCUGUCUCCUUCCAAGCUCCACUGUGUGAUCCUGCCUUCCUAUUACCAUCGGAGACAAACUGGAGAAAGGAACUUCAUAAGCAAGCCCGAUAUUAAACAUAUAAAUAAUGCAUCCUUCGGCGUUAUUUAUAAUGCAGUAGCAUCACUGUGCUGUAUCACAUGCAAUUUCACAUUGCCUCUUUUUUAACUGCUUUCCUGCCAAGCACAUCCUUCACACCUUCUUACUGUGCUUACCCUCCUCCUGACAGUAAUGCAAAGUGUGCGAUGCAGUUUAAGGAAGGAGCCUUCUCUGGUGGGGAAAGCUGUCUACGUAAAGUAGAACAGGGGCUUUUCAGGUACGCGUGCUGAGCUUUCCUGCUAUGCCGUGCAAUAAGCAUUGCUGCAGAAAGGAAAUCAUAGCUGAGCACGGUGUACAGAGAAAGUCUUCUGAAGGCUGAACUUCUGCACACGGCAGUGAUUUACAGAGGUUCUCUGACUCUGUCUGGCCACUCGCAAGGCACCAGAGACUUGAUGAUUAGAUGGAGAAUUGAAGAUCUUUGACAGUGCUGCUAAUCAGCAUCUCAGUGCUGGCUUUCUACACUGCCUGACCGAAAAAAGGACGUGCUUACCGACUGCAGGGGUGCCUGUGUGUUCGUAACCAUAUUAGAUUGCAACUGGUAGAGCACGGAGUUAUCUUCAAGGGCUUUAUGAGACUGCUACACAGCUUCAGCAGGGACCCACCAGACAUGAACUCAGCCAGACAGUCUGAAAGCCACAGGCUAAAAGAGGAUGAUCAUCACGAGAAACAAGCAAAGAGAAAAGACCUGUGACUUCCAUCAAGGAACUCUGAGCCCACUGCAAGUUUUCACAUACCCAACAGAAAGCUCACUUCCUGGUUCUGCCUGGGAACAAGAAGCAGGAAGCACCAUAAAUCUUGUGAAAAAGCCUGUUCUGGCAAGCUUCCUAGCCCAGUUUUGCUGAUCAUUGAGUUUUGGAUCAUUUGGAUAAACUUCAUAUCCCAGUACCUGCCUGCCCUGGAAAUGAGAGAGGCAUGAGAUUUGAACAAGCUGUUGUCUGUACAGACGGAGCCUCAGCUGAGGGACUGCUGCUCCUCUUCACCAUGCUGAACCUGGCUGUUGGUGGAUUGUGCGGAUGGGCAAGAGAAUGGAAAACGUGGCCCACAACAGCUUCAACACGUGGCACAGAGAUUGCAGCUCCGAGGAGACUGUUUCACCUGCUCUCUCCUCCUUGCUCAUUCCCGGCGGUGGCUCCACUUAAAGCUUGGACUCGUGGCUCCAAUCAAGCGAGCGCCCAAAUUCCUAGAGUGCUCUGGGAAGCAUCUAGCAGUGACAGAGCAGCGGCUCAUGACAUUUGAAGACUCUGGCAUCUAGAGACUGCUCCAAGCUCUGGCUGGAAAUUAAAAGCAAUGCAACUGCAUAGAUGAAGGUUCAAGAGAGAUUAGGGCGGUCAAUACCUUUAAGGAUCAAUAGCGCGGAGGCACAGGAAUGAAGGAGGGCAGCUCCAAAGCAGGCAAGGCAGGAAGCAGAGAUGGGUGGGGAACCGGCCUGCACUGGAUCCUAGCUGGGUUUCUGAACCACGAGACUAAAUAGUGGUCUCAUAAUGAUUGCUCCCGGAGAAAAAACCUU